AUGCUCGAUGGCGGCGUUGGUGAAGCUGGCAGCGGCUGGACAAAUCCAACGCCGCGAGCUUUGAUGGUGGACCAGCCUGUCUCGGACACCGGAGAAGACGGCGUCGGUGCAUGGCCCUUGACGACGGUAAGUUCGAUCUCGGAUCCGGACUUGGCGGAUAACGACGUGUGUAAUUUGUUUCAGAUUUUCUUUAGGGAGUCUCCGUAUUUGGUUUGGGUUGAUGUGGCGGCGACGUUUUCCAAUUUUAGGAAUAAUCUCUUGCCUGCCCUUUUCCCCGUUCAAUUGGUGUUCUUAUCACCGGCGGGGGAUGUGAGGUUUUGUGCCUCCGACGAGUUAGGCAACAAAUUAGAAAUGGUGUGGUGGGUGGCGCUCCUUAAAAGACCAUUUUCCCUCUUUUACUUUGACAUGCAACUGAAUUCUAUGAAUUUGGCCGAACAAGUUUUCCAGGGUGAUAGAUGGCCCAUUCACUUACCACAUGAUGUACCUUUUGUCAUGAGGAUUGAGGAGUUGUUGUAA
rnacentral:rRNA from 1 species